CAAGCGGACGGUUGAUUGGUCGCUGUAUUUUUUCUUCUAAUAAGGAAGCUCCUCAGUGCACUUUGGAUAAAUAUUUAUCUCUUAUAUGUAUGUUAUCGUGGUAGAUUAAGAUGCUGAUAGAGAAACGAGAAUCGGGAGUAUGUCGAGUGUAUGCUAAUGCAUGGGGGCAUCCCAUUGGACCUCCAUCCCCAUCCAACACGCGUUCCUGACCUGGCGCUGUCACGACUUUAGAACAAUGGCGUCGAUAUACAUGUCUCAUUUAUAUACACGUAUUCCUCCCCCAUACGUUCGCUUAGAUUCCAAGCGUGGUGAUCUCCCGUGGCUUUUUGCAGACCUUUACAAUCACAACGAGAAUCAGAAAAAUGUGCACACUACCAGGAAUUAUCUUUCAAGCUCGUAGACGUGCGUAACCCCAUUCCGUAGCAUCGACUGGCCACUUGGAAGUGGACGUUGGACAUUGGGGUCUUCUUCGUGGCAUUCUAAGAAUACUCGGCCACCCUUUUGCCCUCUGUUAUAUAUCUAUACCAAUGGUGGCACGCUCAACGUGGUACCCCUACCAUUUUUACUCCCUUCUUCCAACAACUCAACCUCACGGACCCUUCGUUCUCCUAUCCCAGCCCCAGGGACAACAGGGUACUCUAGGAGGGCUACGAUUGGUAAUAACGUGACCACUUACAAACCCCCUUACAGUUUCUGGACCAAUGAGGUAUCACCCUGCACCAUAAACCCUCCUUUAUGUAAUUUCAAAUUUCCAAAAAAAAUUUUAUCUGUCUCUUAAAUUUAUAUACAAAAUAAUACAUGCCGGAAGUGACCCGACGAAAUGUUCAACUAUUGAAAUUCUAGAUCCGAAAUAUUCAAAAGUCGGCCAUGAUAAUAUUUUUAAUCGCAAACGAGACAAUUGAUAUAAAUUCCAGAGAAUGGAGGAACUGUAAUAAGUUUUUGUAUUGUCAAUCCGUCUUGUCUAACAAGUAAGAAAGGUACCCAGCUUAGGUACUAUGAAGGGCCGGAGGCUGCCCGCCUUGGUGCUUCUAGAGUCUACGCUCUAGGAGGGGGAGGGCUAGGAAGAAGAAAGGUAUUAGAGGUACCAAGAGGCAACAGAGAGGAGAGGAGGGGGAUUACAGAUCUCGUUACGUACAAGAGUUCACGGGUCACGCGAGAAUCGUGAACCUUCCUAUACGUAUAGUCGCAUAGACGUUAACCAGUAUGCGGUGAGAAAAUGUAAAAUCGUAAAGUAGCAUCACAUAUGAGAAUCAAGCAAUAAUAUUUAACUCAUAUACCAAACAAGGUAAUAUAUUUUGAAAAUUUUUAAAAAUUUUUUAUUACCUUCAAAAUCAACCAGGGUCUCGAGGAUGGGAUAUGCAAACGUUGAAUAAUCUUAUUCGACCAGCACCAGUAACUAGACGAGAUAGCGUAGGUAGAUCUAGACCAGGACGACAUGGGUAGAUACCCAGGUACGUGGGGGACCUUCGCUGAAGGUGAUUCGCUAAUGUAACGCCGCGUUCCUGGAAGCCCUCCGCACGCUGAAAUUAGAUUACUGCGAGAUUGCUCCUCUUCCUCUAUCCGUACCGUCUGUGACGUCCUCCCCUCUCGUCCCUCUUCAUCUUCUUCAACUUCU